GACGAACGCUGGCGGCGCGCCUAACACAUGCAAGUCGAACGGAGUCAAGAGGAGCUUGCUUUUCUUGACUUAGUGGCGAACGGGUGAGUAACGCGUGGGUAACCUGCCCUGGAGUGGGGGACAACAGUUGGAAACGACUGCUAAUACCGCAUAAGCCCACGGAUCCGCAUGGAUCUGCGGGAAAAGGAUUUAUUCGCUUCAGGAUGGACUCGCGUCCAAUUAGCUAGUUGGUGAGGUAACGGCCCACCAAGGCGACGAUUGGUAGCCGGACUGAGAGGUUGAACGGCCACAUUGGGACUGAGACACGGCCCAGACUCCUACGGGAGGCAGCAGUGGGGGAUAUUGCACAAUGGGGGAAACCCUGAUGCAGCGACGCCGCGUGGAGGAAGAAGGUUUUCGGAUUGUAAACUCCUGUCGUUAGGGACGAUAAUGACGGUACCUAACAAGAAAGCACCGGCUAACUACGUG
rnacentral:rRNA from 1 species